rnacentral:rRNA from 1 species
GUGAGGAAUAUUGGUCAAUGGCCGAGAGGCUGAACCAGCCAAGUAGCGUGCAGGAUGACGGCCCUCGUGGUUGUAAACUGCUUUUAGUCGGGAAUAAAAGGGGGUUCGUGAACCCCGUAUUGUAUGUACCGUCAGAAAAAGGACCGGCUAAUUCCGUGCCAGCAGCCGCGGUAAUACGGAAGGUCCGGGCGUUAUCCGGAUUUAUUGGGUUUAAAGGGAGCGUAGGCGGGCCGUUAAGUCAGUUGUGAAAGUUCGGGGCUCAACCCCGGAAUUGCAGUUGAAACUGCCGGUCUUGAGUACACGCAGGGAAGCCUGAAUUCAUGGUGUAGCGGUGAAAUGCUUAGAUAUCAUGAAGACGACCGAUCGCGAAGGCAGGUUUCCGGAGUGUAACUGACGCUGAGGCUCGAAAGUGCGGGUAUCAAACAGGAUUAGAUACCCUAGUAGUCC